GUUUUUCCCAGCGUGCGAUGGCUUCUGGUCGCGUUAGUGGCGCAUGAAAAGAGAUGUGCAAAACUUAGCAGCACUUCAACGCUUGUUGCUAGUGUGUGCCCUUAUUGCUUUGCGUGCGCCUGUUGCGCGCCAGCCCAACCUUCGCACCCGCACCCGCCCCACUGCCAUCGCCUCUCCUAAUCCAAUAACAAAUCACUCUCCCACUAUCUUCCUCGACAAUAACGGACUUGAAACUGAUAAGAUCAUCACCACGACUGAUCCUAUCGUAGAGAUCUCGGUUUCUGAUCCGCGAUCCAUGUCGAAAGCGCGAGUUUAUGCCGAUGUUAACGUUUUGCGUCCCAAGGAGUACUGGGAUUACGAGUCUCUCACUGUUCAAUGGGGGGACCAAGAUGAUUAUGAAGUUGUUCGUAAAGUUGGAAGGGGAAAGUAUAGUGAGGUUUUUGAAGGCAUAAAUGUGAAUAACAACGAACGGUGCAUAAUCAAGAUUCUCAAACCUGUUAAGAAAAAGAAGAUCAAGAGGGAAAUAAAAAUACUUCAGAAUCUCUGUGGUGGCCCAAAUAUAGUUAAACUUCUUGAUAUUGUUAGAGAUCAGCACUCAAAGACUCCCAGCCUGAUAUUUGAAUAUGUGAACAGUACAGACUUCAAAGUUUUGUACCCCACGCUCACUGAUUAUGACAUACGCUACUACAUAUAUGAGCUUCUCAAGGCAUUGGACUACUGCCAUUCACAAGGAAUAAUGCAUAGAGAUGUCAAGCCUCACAAUGUCAUGAUUGACCAUGAGUUGCGAAAACUACGCUUGAUUGACUGGGGACUUGCAGAAUUCUACCAUCCUGGCAAAGAAUAUAAUGUCAGGGUAGCUUCAAGGUACUUUAAGGGGCCUGAACUCCUUGUUGAUUUACAAGACUAUGAUUAUUCUUUGGACUUGUGGAGCCUUGGUUGUAUGUGUGCUGGAAUGGUGAGCUUUUUGCUUUUCAUUUUCUAUCCCCUUUCUGCUUCACCCUUCCUAUGUCUUUCUUUUUCUUAGCAUGGAGAAUGUUAUUUGUAUCAUUGGGGUGGACAUCAUUUCGCGUUAAAUUCUCCCUGUGCACUUUUUAUGGUGCAUAUGAAAGUGGACGUCAAAUUGUUCUGCCAUCAAGUUUUGGCCUCAGUCCAAAUGAUAUGGUUUUUCACCUAUAAUGGAUUUCUCAGUGGGUUCCCUUGGAUGGCCUGCAAUAGAUUGUACCCCUGUUUAGUUUUCCAGAUUUAUGUUCUUGGUGAUGCCAUUGGCAAGUGAAUGUUGCUCUAAUGAUUUGCUUGCAUACGCGUCCAUGGGUGGCAGAUAUCAUGGAGGAUACAAAUAUGAUUUAUCCCUUCUUAGCCAUGUGAUGCUUUCUUGUUAUGCAGAUAUUCCGAAAAGAGCCAUUCUUCUAUGGGCAUGAUAAUUAUGAUCAGCUAGUUAAAAUAGCAAAGGUGCUUGGAACAGAUGAAUUGAAUGCUUAUUUGAAUAAGUACUGCAUAGAGUUGGAUCCUCAUCUUGCAGCCCUAGUUGGCAGGCACAGCCGGAAACCAUGGACGAAGUUUAUAAAUGUUGACAAUCAGCAUUUGGCAGUACCGGAGGCUGUUGACUUCCUUGACAAGUUGCUGCGAUAUGACCACCAAGAAAGGCCAACUGCAAAGGAAGCAAUGGCCCAUCCUUAUUUCUAUCCGAUUAGAAAUGGAGAAAGCAGCAGGGUUCGUACGUAGUUUGAAUCUCAGGAUGCUGUCAAAGGUGCAGCAUCUUUCUGUGCCUUGUAAUUGGACUUUAUUUAUAAUUACGGUGGUGAGCUUUCAUCCUACUCUUUAAUGUUUCUGUCGUCACAUAGCGUAAUUUAUAUAUCUUUUAGCAUUAAUAUUGUGAGUUUACUAUUGUGUAUGGAAAAUCACUGGCGGUUUUUAUGCUGGUUUUACUGUUUCAGUUGUAGGGGAAGUACCAAUAUGUUCAUUUUUCACUGAUAAAGAUUCAUUAGUUGAAUUAAUUUUUAUUAAACCAGUAGCUCACUCAGUUUGGAAGUUUUUCCCUAUAAUUACAACUUUCUAAAAUUGUUUUUUUCCUUCUAGAGGAAGCUCCAGCUAUUUUCAGUUAAAUAAACCAUUAGCAUUUAUCUAUUUUUAUUUUAAAAGUAG
rnacentral:misc_RNA from 1 species